UAACAGUUCGUAGUGACUCAAAUGACGUU
rnacentral:sRNA from 1 species